rnacentral:rRNA from 1 species
CCUACGGGAGGCAGCAGUGAGGAAUAUUGGGCAAUGGACGAGAGUCUGAACCAGCCAAGUAGCGUGAAGGAUGACUGCCCUAUGGGUUUUAAACUUCUUUUAUAAGGGAAUAAAACGAGGCACGUCUGCCUUUUUGCAUGUACUUUAUAAAUAAGGAUCGGCUAACUCCGUGCCAGCAGCCGCGGUAAUACGGAGGAUCCGAGCGUUAUCCGGAUUUAUUGGGUUUAAAGGGAGCGUAGAUGGGUUGUUAAGUCAGUUGUGAAAGUUUGCGGCUCAACCGUAAGAUUGCAAUUGAUACUGGCAGUCUUGAGUACAGUUGAGGUAGGCGGAAUUCGGGGUGUAGCGGUGAAAUGCUUAGAUAUAACGAAGAACCCCGAUUGCGAAGGCAGCUUACUAAACUGUGACUGACAUUGAUGCGCGAAAGUGUGGGUAUCAAACAGGAUUAGAUACCCUUGUAGUC